rnacentral:rRNA from 1 species
GAUAAACGCUGGCGGCGUGCCUAAUACAUGCAAGUCGAGCGAACGGACGAGAAGCUUGCUUCUCUGAUGUUAGCGGCGGACGGGUGAGUAACACGUGGAUAACCUACCUAUAAGACUGGGAUAACUUCGGGAAACCGGAGCUAAUACCGGAUAAUAUUUUGAACCGCAUGGUUCAAAAGUGAAAGACGGUCUUGCUGUCACUUAUAGAUGGAUCCGCGCUGCAUUAGCUAGUUGGUAAGGUAACGGCUUACCAAGGCAACGAUGCAUAGCCGACCUGAGAGGGUGAUCGGCCACACUGGAACUGAGACACGGUCCAGACUCCUACGGGGGGCAGCAGUAGGGAAUCUUCCGCAAUGGGCGAAAGCCUGACGGAGCAACGCCGCGUGAGUGAUGAAGGUCUUCGGAUCGUAAAACUCUGUUAUUAGGGAAGAACAUAUGUGUAAGUAACUGUGCACAUCUUGACGGUACCUAAUCAGAAAGCCACGGCUAACUACGUGCCAGCAGCCGCGGUAAUACGUAGGUGGCAAGCGUUAUCCGGAAUUAUUGGGCGUAAAGCGCGCGUAGGCGGUUUUUUAAGUCUGAUGUGAAAGCCCACGGCUCAACCGUGGAGGGUCAUUGGAAACUGGAAAACUUGAGUGCAGAAGAGGAAAGUGGAAUUCCAUGUGUAGCGGUGAAAUGCGCAGAGAUAUGGAGGAACACCAGUGGCGAAGGCGACUUUCUGGUCUGUAACUGACGCUGAUGUGCGAAAGCGUGGGGAUCAAACAGGAUUAGAUACCCUGGUAGUCCACGCCGUAAACGAUGAGUGCCAAGUGUUAGGGGGUUUCCGCCCCUUAGUGCUGCAGCUAACGCAUUAAGCACUCCGCCUGGGGAGUACGACCGCAAGGUUGAAACUCAAAGGAAUUGACGGGGACCCGCACAAGCGGUGGAGCAUGUGGUUUAAUUCGAAGCAACGCGAAGAACCUUACCAAAUCUUGACAUCCUUUGACAACUCUAGAGAUAGAGCCUUCCCCUUCGGGGGACAAAGUGACAGGUGGUGCAUGGUUGUCGUCAGCUCGUGUCGUGAGAUGUUGGGUUAAGUCCCGCAACGAGCGCAACCCUUAAGCUUAGUUGCCAUCAUUAAGUUGGGCACUCUAAGUUGACUGCCGGUGACAAACCGGAGGAAGGUGGGGAUGACGUCAAAUCAUCAUGCCCCUUAUGAUUUGGGCUACACACGUGCUACAAUGGACAAUACAAAGGGCAGCGAAACCGCGAGGUCAAGCAAAUCCCAUAAAGUUGUUCUCAGUUCGGAUUGUAGUCUGCAACUCGACUACAUGAAGCUGGAAUCGCUAGUAAUCGUAGAUCAGCAUGCUACGGUGAAUACGUUCCCGGGUCU